AUUUGAGCAAACUAACAAAAGAUAUUCAUAUACAGUCAUGCAUUGCUUAACUGUGGGGAUAUGUUCUGAGAAAUGUGCCAUUAGAUGAUUUUAUCAUUGUGAGAACAUCAUAGAAUGUACUUAUACAAACCUAGAUGUUAUAAGCCUACCACAUACCUAGGAGCUAUUGCUCCCAGGCUACAAACCUGUACAGCAUGUUACUGUACUGAAUACUGUAGGCAACUGCAACACAAUGAUGGUAAGUAUUUGUGUAUCUAAACAUGUCUAACCACUGAAACGGUACAAUAAAAAUAUGCUAUUACAAUCUUAUGUGACUAUUAUUAUAUCUGUGGUCCAUCAUUGACCAAAACACCUUUAUUCAGAAUAAUGGCUACCGGCCGGGCCUGUUGCUUUUAUUCACUUAACUGGGUAAAAUUACAGAAAGAUACACAGUAUCUCCAAGCCAUUAAUGAAGUGUAGUAUUUACACUUCAUAUAAUCACUUUUUCUUCACAAGUCGCUAAGGAAACACGGUGGCACAGUGUAGGAAUAGUAUCAGAAAAUAAUGUAGAGCUAGCUGCUGAUGCUUCUCCUGGACAGGAGUCAAGUCUCUCAUAUUUCAUAAAUGCCUGUGGAAUGAAUUCUUUCUUUAGCUGUUGGAUACAAUGUUUAAAUGGCUUGCACUAGGAAGAGCGUGGUAGUUCAAGCCUAUAAUCCCAGCACUUUGGGAGACUGAGGCAAGCGGAGCACUUGUGGUCAGGAGUUUGAGAACAGCCUGGCCAACAUGGUGAAACCCUGUUUCUACUAAAAAUUCAAAAAUUAGCCCCAUGUGGUGGCGUGCACCUGUAAUCCCAGCUACUUGGGAGGCUGAGGCACGACAAUCACUUGAACCCAGGAGGCAGAAGUUGCAAGCCGGGAUUGUGCCACUAAACUCCAGCCUGGGCGACAGAGCAAGACUCUACUUGCACUAGUCUCUUAACAAAAGGAGGCAGCUCAGUCAUUACAUUUUAGUGUUGCAUAAAACCUCUUUAGAAAGUGAAAUAAUUUAACACCUUUAAAGUACUUUUAAAUUUCAUUUAGAAGUACAUUUACUGAACUGUUAUUUAACUUUCUAUCCUUUCUAUCAACAUAUAAUACACUUAUACUAAGGGGAAAAAAGGGGUUUUCCUCCAUUGUAUAGACUUUUACAAGCUAACUAGACAAGAACAUUAGAUGACUUGGAAUGUAGGGCUCCACAAAUGGGAUCCAAACCUAGAGUCUUAGUUUCUUUAAAGACUAAUGGUCUUCACUUUUGUUUUUGUGCAAACCUCUGGUUAAUCUCCCAAAUAAAACCUCAGUUGAUAUUAGAAAACACUAAAAAUUAUUCUACUGUUUUGUACUGUUUUACUAAGGAUUAGAGGUCUAUUGAAUCUGACAUCACACAAAAAGCUCUAUUUCUUCAAGGCAUUCCAGUUUCUUUGUAAUCUGUUGGAUUUUACCGAAGACGUCAGGAGAAGCAUUAUAGGUCAGUGACAGUGGGGCCAUGGAGAGCUAUCUUCCCAGAUACCCAAAUGAGUAAUUAGAUACUGCAAGCUAAACAUUCUGUCUCUUCCCUACUACAUUUCUGUUUAUUCAAGCAAAGCUAGAAACAGUAUUAGAAUUAGACACAAUUCUAGAAUUAGAAUUAUUAUGAUGAUUUUAAAUGUGAAGUGUUAUCGACAUCGUUUUAAAAAUUAUUUCCUCCCCCUGAAACCACUGAACUUCAUCUGGUAUUAAGUCUCAGCCAUGUUAUUACACUUUCACCAACUAUACAUAGAAUUGUUUGACAUGUUUCUAAACUUUGUAUCAGAUAGUACCUAACAAGAUACUUUCUCUGUAGUCUUUAUUACUCAGAUGUAUGUCGCACAGCUCCAUUAAUUGGUUACAUACCUUCACACUAGGUACUUAACCUGUCUGCAUUGUGGUUUCCUUUAAAUAACAUGAAUGACAUAAUUACAUGAAUAAUAGGAUAAUUUCUAAAAUUCAUUUUUGCUUAUAUACAAUUCCUAUUAGAAUAUACAGAAAUUGAUCUUUAUACAUUUAUAUACUAUUACAGUAAUACGUUUAGUGGCACGCUAAAAUUGAAAUUAAUUUUAAAGGCAAAAAAAUGCAAAGCUGAACAUAUUAUUGUAAUUUAGUACCCACAAAUGUCACUUAAAUUUAUGUAUUACUUUUUUUUUUUUUUUUUUUGAGACGGAGUUUCGCUCUUGUUGCCCAGGAUGGAGUGCAAUGGCGCGAUCUUGGCUCACCACAACCUCCACCUCCUGGGUUCAAGCAAUUCUUCUGCCUCAGCCUUCCAAGUAGCUGGGAUUACAGGCAUGUGCCACUAUGACUGGCUAAUUUUGUAUUUUUAGUAGAGACGGGGUUUCUCCAUGUUGGUCAGGCUAUUCUUGAACUCCCGACCUCAGAUGAUAUGCCCACCUCAGCCUCCCAAAAUGUUGGGAUUACAGGCGUUAGCCACGGCGCCCAGCCACAUAUAACCUUUCUGUUAGGCAAGUGAAGACACUUCCACACUCAUUCUUUCCAUUUAUAAAAACAUCAUUCUUGUGCACGACAUAAGAUUGACAAAAUAUAUACCAGUUAAGAGCUUGUCCAAGAUAAGUCCAAGUUCAAAUUCACUGCCAUUUAUUUCCUGCCUGUGUGACUGUUCAAAAACUUUAACAUAUAUUUUUCUCUCCUAUAAAAUGCAAAUAAUUUAUUACCUAUAGAGGAUUGUUUCUCUCCUAAGUUAUAAUAAAGAUAUAUUUGGUUCAGGCUGGAUGCAGUGGCUCAUGCCUGUAAUCUUAGCACUUUUGAGGCCAAGGUGAGAUGAUUGCUUGAGGUCAGGAGUUGGAGUCCAGCCUGGGCAACAUAGCAAGACGCCAUCUCCACAAAAAUAAAAAAAAUAGCUGGGUGUGGCAGCAUGCAAUUGUACUCCCAGGUACGUACUCAGGAAGCUGGGGCAGGAGGAUCCCUUGAACCCAGGAGUUGAGCCUGGAUGGCAGAGCUAGACUAUGUCUCGUAAAAAGAGAUAUAUUUGGUUCAUAUAACAAAAUACUGUUAUUGUGUUUGAUACUUAAUCUAUGAUAGUCAAAAAUGUCAACAAUGAAGUGACUAAAAUGUUCUUGCUGUUUCUACACCUGGCAGUUUCUGGCUAGUAAAAUCUGGAUUUCACUUGCCUAAUGAAAUCUGAUUCUAAUUAGUGGCUUUUUAAAUAAAAAAGAUAUUAUUGGAAUAUCCCUUGCAUAUAGUCUUAAAAUGUCAUAUUUUUUCCUUUAAGAAUAGGAGCCAUAGUAAUAUCUAUUAAAAAAUCUGUAUUUUUGGCCAGGCACAGUGGCAUGCCUAUAAUCCGAGCACUUAGGGAGGCUGAGGCAUGAGGACUGCCUGAGGCCAAGAGUUCAUAACCAGCCUGGGCAACACAGCAAGACUGUCUCCACAAAAAAAUUUUAAAAUCAGCCAGAUGUGGUGACAUGCGCCUGUGGUCCUAGUUAGGAGGAUGAGGUGGGAGGAUCCCUUGAGUCCGGGAGUUAGAGGCUGCAGUGAGCUAUAAUCGGGCCGCUGCACUCUAGCUUGGGCAACAUAGUGAGACCCUGUCUCUAAAAAAUGAACAAAAAUAAAAACUAGUAUCUUUCAAAAAAUUUAAUAUUUUCCUUAUAUUUGUUAUAUAUAGUAAACUGUUACCUUUUUUUCAAAACUACGAUACAUCAAAAGAAUUUUAGACUGUGUGAACAGAUUUCAAUGUUAUUAUCAGAAAUUCCCAGAUGGUAUAUAUAUAUAUAUAUUUUUUUUUUUGCAGGGUUGCUUGUUCCAUUAUAUGCAUUUUAUAUCAAUUUAAACUUUUGUUUGUUCUUUCUCCAAUAAUAUACUAGGAAGCAUUCUGAUAUAUUAUUAUGCAUUGUUGACAACAGUUCCAAAAUGGUAAUUCCAAAUUCAAAGGAAAAGAAAAUAUUGAUCAUCUUCUCAUAGAAAAGCUAUGUUUUUCUACAAAGGCCCCACUAUGCCUGGCCAAGUAAUUUCUUAAAACUUUAUUUGGGCUGGGUGCGGUGGCUCAUGCCUGUAAUCUCAGCACUUUGGGAGGUCCAGGUGGGCAGACAGCUUGAGCCCAGGAGUUCAAGACCAGCAUGGGCUACAUGGCGAAACCCUCUCUCUACAAAAAAAGUAAUAAUAAAAAUAAAUUAAAAAAUAAAAAAUAAAAAAUUGACUGGGUGUGGUCCCAGCUACUUGGAAGGCUGAGGUGAGAGGCCAGCUUGAGCCCAGAAGGUGGAGGUUGCAGUAAGCCAAGAUUACACCAUUGUACUCCAGUAUGGGUGACAUAGUGAGACCCUGUCUUGACAAAAAAACAAAAAAACCAACCUUUGAUAAGAGAGCAAGUAUCAACAUUUUAAAGAACUGCACUACUAUGGCAAGACAGCAUAACUAGUACCGGUCAGCAGGUUCUGAGCACUGCAUUGUCAGGUUCCUAGCUUUUCCCCAACCACGGGAAAGCAGCACCACUCAUUUAUCCAAGUGAUUCUUGGGAAUAUAUAAGUCCAUGUAAAGCAGGCAUCUCUGGUGUUCUGGUAGAGGAACUGGGACCAUUGAAAGGUCUCAUGGCUUUUGAGGGAAAGGGUGUGGAGCAAUAUCAGAGGACUGAAUAGUCUAGGCAUGUAUUGACCUCUCAUAUUCCUUCUGUUCAGGGAGUAAGAUCUAACCACUUGAGUUAACCAAGGAAAGGAGUUUGGCAGGGAUUGAUCAGAGACAAUACUUGUCCAAGAGACUUGGUCACUUACAUUAUAUCUAUCUCAAGGAAGAAUGCCUGAACUAUGAAUGUAUUCUGCUGUGGAACCAGGAUUGGGAAUAGGUGGGGACCAGUUCUGGAUGCCAUUUUAUUCUUUGUCUAUGCAUCUGAUAUAUAGGCUUCUUUAUCUUUAACCAUCUAGUUUAUACAGACUACAUUCGGUCAGCCUAGGUUGGGUGAGUUAAGAAAGACAUUUUAAAUAACUGCCCUUAAGGAUCAUUUGAAGACCAUCCAAAACAGGACUAGGAAUUCAUCUUUGUCCUCUCAAAGUUAGAAGAUUUCCAGAGACUACAAAUACAAUAAAAUUUAUACCAAUCAGCACAAAAUGAGAAAAAGAAGGAUUCUGUGCAUGAAUUUUCUGGCCACCUUUAUUCACUAUUUGGCAUUAAAAUAUACUUUAAGAAAUGGUAACUGGAGCUCUAGCUCUUGGUCUAUAUGAAAAUGAGGACCACAUACCAGGGAUGGAGGGAGCCUAGGAUCCUAAAGAAUGUGGAACAAAACCUACAUCAGCCCUGGACUGCCUCUGGUUUUCUACAGAGAACUAAACUCCUAACUGGUUCAAUACACUGUUUAGCUCUCAACUGCAGCCAAGUUUAGAUAUUGUUUCGCAGACUUCUGCAACAGGAACAUCAUUUGAGAUGUAAUACCAUCUAAUAAUGAGACCAAACAUAUUUCCCAAAUAUUACUAAAAGGUUGUGAAUGCUCUACUUAAGGAGUAUCAAUCCAUUAAUAAUGGAAAUAACAUUUAAAAAAUACAUUUACUUUAAAUAUUUUUAUAUAACACAUGCAUAAAGAUAAAUGCUAAUGAUAUCAUAAAAUCUGUAGAAUGUUUAAUACUGAUGAAAGGUUUUGUCUAAAAAAUUUAUUCUAAUCUACACAUGAGGAAAGAUUAGGGUUACAGUGAAAACUGUAUGCAAUGCAAUUUUUUAUUUUUUUUUGAGACAGAGUCUUGCUCUGUUGCCCAGGCUGAAAUGCAGUGGCACAAUCUCAGCUCACUGCAACCUCUGCCUCUCGGGUUCAAGCAAUUUGCCUGCCUCAGCCUCCGGAGUAGCUGGGACUACAGGCACAUGCUGCCACGCCCAGCUAAUUUUUUGUAUUUUAUUAGAGACGAGGUUUCACUGUGUUGCCCAGGCUGGUUUCGAACUCCUGAGCUCAGGCAAUCCGCCCGCCUCAGCCUCCCAAAGUGCUGGGAUUACAGGCGUGAGCCACCGUGCCCAACCAACUGUAUGCAAUUUCUAAAGGAUCUGACAUAUAUUUAAUAUAAAGUGCCUUCCUUAAAAUAUCUUGAUGAAUUCUUCAAAAAUUGGCAAUCUACUUGUCUUUAUUUUGAGAUAGAGUCUGGCUCUGCUGCCCAGGCUGGAGCACAGUGGUAUGAUCUCAGCUCACUGCAACCUCCACCUCCUGGGUUCAACCAAUUCUCCUGCCUCAGCCUCCCAAGUACUUGGGACCACAGGAGUGUGCCACCACACCCGGCUAAUUUGUUUUGGAUUUUUUUUUUUUUAGUAGAGACAAAGUUUCACCAUGUUGGUCAGGCUGGUCUCGAACCCCUGACCUCAGGUGAGCCGCCUGCCUUGGCCACCCAAAAUGCUGGGAUUACAAGCAUGAGCCACCGUGCCCUGCCGAAUCAAUAUUUUGUUAUCGUUGUUGUUGAGACAGAGUCUUGCACUGUCACCCAGGCUGGAGUGCAGUGGCACAAUCUCAGCUCACUACAACCCCUGCCUCCCGGGUUCAAGCAAUUCUCCUGCCUUAGCCUCCCAAGUAGUUGGGAUUACAGGCGGUCGCCACCAUGCCCAGCUAAUUUUUGUAGUUUUAGCAGAGACAGGGUUUUGACAUGUUGGCCAGGGUGGUCUCAAACUCCUGACCUCAGGUGAUCCACCUGCCUCGGCCUCCCAAUGUGCUGGGAUUACAGGUGUGAGCCACCAUGCCCAGCCUACAUUUUUUUUAAUGUUCUGAGUACCCUCACAGCCUAAUUUUCUUGAACAUUUAUUCUGCCAAAAGGAACUGAAUUUCUAACUUUUUCUCUAUUACAAUUUUCAUUAAUCUUUUUGAAUGCUUUUUUAAAAUAGCUAACUUAAAAAAAUCUAAGUCUCUAACAGAAAUAAAAAUCUCAACAAUCAAUUACUGGAUUUCCAAUAUAACCUUUUACAGCAUUUCAAAAACAAAUCUUAAUUCGGCCAGGCACAGUGGCUCACUUUGGGAGGCUGAGGUGGGCAGAUCACCUGAGGUCAGGAGUUCAAGACCAGCCUGGCCAACAUGGCAAAACCCCGUCUCUACUAAAAAUACAAAAAUUAGCAGGACAUCGUGAUGUGUGCCUGUAAUCCCAGCUACUUGGGAGGUUGAGACAGGAGAAUCGAUUGAACCUAGGAAGCGGAGGUUGCAGUGAGUUGAGAUUGCGCCACUGCACUCCAGCCUAGGCAACAGAGCAAGACUCCAUCUCAAAAAAAAAAAAAACAAAUAAAAAUAAAAAAGCAAAUCUGAAUUCAAACCAAUACCUUUAAAGAGAAAUGUAAAACUCAGUUUAAUUUCAAGUUUGUAUAGAGAAUGUAUGCCACAGUUU
rnacentral:lncRNA from 1 species